GGUGUCGAUUGACACCUACGUGAA
rnacentral:siRNA from 1 species